UUGCUCUUAUGAAGUUAGCGGCGGACGGGUGAGUAACACGUGGGUAACCUGCCCAUAAGACUGGGAUAACUCCGGGAAACCGGGGCUAAUACCGGAUAAUAUUUUGAACUGCAUGGUUCGAAAUUGAAAGGCGGCUUCGGCUGUCACUUAUGGAUGGACCCGCGUCGCAUUAGCUAGUUGGUGAGGUAACGGCUCACCAAGGCAACGAUGCGUAGCCGACCUGAGAGGGUGAUCGGCCACACUGGGACUGAGACACGGCCCAGACUCCUACGGGAGGCAGCAGUAGGGAAUCUUCCGCAAUGGACGAAAGUCUGACGGAACAACGCCGCGUGAGUGAUGAAGGCUUUCGGGUCGUAAAACUCUGUUGGUAGGGAAGAACAACUGGCAAUUUUUUUU
rnacentral:rRNA from 1 species